rnacentral:lncRNA from 1 species
GCUUUGAAGUCCCAUUUGGAAAGCCCAGUGAGGACUGCUUUCACAUGGGCCAGCCAGAGCCCCACCAUUCAGAGAGAAUUUGUAAGGGACUCCAGGUCCAAGAACUCAGACAAAGAUUUCUUGUUUCUAUAACCUGCCUCCUGGAAGCUUCUGAAGGGCUGUUAGUGGAACCUGAGGUGGGCAGCAGUAACAAGUGGUGAUUGAUAUCAGGCAGCUGUUCACUUUGCCUAGUUCUGAUCCCAAGUCUACUUCCAACUGAAAGGAAAAAGAAAAAGAAUUACCAAAGUCCAGUGGUAAAACAGAGUUCAGGAUGACUGGCAAUGUCCUGGAAUGAAGGGAUGACCUUGGCAUCUCUGUUUAACCAAGCUCUAGGCACUCCACAGUGCCCAUUUCAGCUGACUCCAUGGCCACUGGGACAAAUUAUUCUCAUUUGCCCAUUCCACUGGGAAAACAGUGUUCAGCUUCUUUCCAUCAAGUUCUGUCCAAGAAGUCCCCCUUUUCUCUAGGAGGAGAUGUUCAGGAUAUCCUCCUUCUAUUUGGAACCUCCUCUCUUAGAACCUCCACCAUCCAAGAACUCCUGAGAGCUUCUGCAAUCAAUUUUUUUUCAGCUGCCAUCUUUAUGGCUGAGUCAUUUUGAAGGAGGAGGAGGAAGAGGAGAAGAAGAAGGAAAAGAAGAAGAAGAAGAGAGGAGGAGGAGGAGGAGGAGGGGAAGGAGAAGAAGAUGGAAGAGGAAGAGGAAAAGAAAGAAAAAAAGAAAAUAAAAGCUUUUUCAGAUUGUAUUUAGAUUCCA